UACGUAGGGUGCGAGCGUUGUCCGGAAUUACUGGGCGUAAAGAGCUCGUAGGUGGUUUGUCGCGUUUGUCCGUGAAAACUCACAACUCAAUUGUGGGCGUGCGGGCGAUACGGGGCAGACUGGAGUACUGCAGGGGGAGACUGGAAUUCCUGGUGUAGCGGUGGAAAUGCGCAGAUAUCAGGAGGAACACCGGUGGCGAAGGCGGGGUCCCUGGGCAGUAACUGACGCUGAGGAGCGAAAAGCGUGGGGAGCGAACAGG
rnacentral:rRNA from 1 species